UACACAUAUAUUCUUAUGUAGAACUCCAAUGGAUAGAAUCCCCGUCAGGAGGUGCUCUAAGGUCAUGCUGAAAUUUUAUUUCUAAAAUCAGAUUUACUGUCUCUCCGAAAAGUCUUAUCGGUGUUAAUGCCGAUCUCCCUGGUCUAAUUGGCUGUUUAGCCACAUCCAGCUUCUCAACGGACAAUGCCGCAUUCCAAACCUUUUCGUUUGAUUCCAUCAAUGUCGAUUCCGACUAUUUCAUGUUCGCUGGAGCAACUGUUUCAAAGGUACAAGUGGAUUUCUUUUCAGAUGUUUCUUUACAAUGAGCAAGUCUCCAUGUAACAUCUCUAUCCUUUUUUGUUUUAUCGUUCUACUUUUGUUGUUCGCAUACCCUUGAGUUUCACUUUGGUUGUUAUCGAUUUAUUUUUACUCCGGUUGGAAUUAAUUAAGCA